UAUGUGAUCGUCUCUCGCAUAUCAAUAAGCGGAGGAAAAGAAACUAACAAGGAUUCCCCUAGUAACGGCGAGUGAAGCGGGAAGAGCUCAAAUUUGAAAUCUUAAAGGGUUUCCCUUUACGAAUUGUAGUUUAAAGAAGUGUUUUCUGUUGAGGUUUUGGUAAAAGUUCUUUGGAAUAGGACAUCAUAGAGGGUGAGAAUCCCGUAUUUGACCUUUACUUUCAACUUUGUGAUACACUUUCAAAGAGUCGGAUUGUUUGGGAAUGCAGUCCAAAAUGGGUGGUAAAUUUCAUCUAAAGCUAAAUAUUGGCGAGAGACCGAUAGCGAACAAGUACCGUGAGGGAAAGAUGAAAAGAACUUUGAAAAGAGAGUUAAACAGUACGUGAAAUUGUCAAAAGGGAAGCGUUUGACACCAGUGUUGUUUUUCUGAAAAUCAAUUAAAGAACUGUUUAUGCUAAGCUGUUUAGACUUUAUCAGCUAACUGUUUAGUUUUGAGCUUUUCUUUAAUGCACUUUUCAGUUAACAAGUCAACAUCAAUUUCUUUUGCUGUAAAAAAGCUUGAGGAAGGUGGCUUGAGAUUCGUCUUAAGUGUUUAUAGCCUCUUGCCUAUGCAGUCGGAGAGAUUGAGGUCUGCAGCGUAGAUCCUUCGGGGCUAAAUGCAUUUGUGCUAAGUUAUAGCAUUUUAUAGACAACUUGUUGACUAUGAUUUGUCUUGUAGCUUACUCGCUUAUGUUAUUUUACCUACGCUUAGGAUGUUGAAUCUGUGCGAGACUAC
rnacentral:rRNA from 1 species